ACAGCGGAGGUGGAGGUGACCUCAAAGGCACAUAAUGUCGGUAGCUCAUUCAUCCGUCCAUGCCAAAUGGAUCGUGGGGAAGGUGAUUGGGACAGCAAUGCAAAAAACUGCUAAAAUGAGAGUGACCAGGCUUGUUCUGGAUCCCUAUUUGUUAAAGUAUUUUAAUAAGCGAAAAACCUACUUUUUUCACGAUGCCCUUCAGCAGUGCACAGUUGGAGAUAUUGUGCUUCUCAAAGCUUUACCUGUUUCACGAACAAAGCAUGUGAAACAUGAACUGGCUGAGAUUGUUUUCAAAGUUGGAAAAGUCAUAGAUUCAGUGACAGGAAAACCUUGUGCAGGAACCACCUACCUGGAGAGUCCAGUCAGUUUGGAAACUACCCACCUAACAAAAAAUGUGGAAGCACUCAAUAUCUUUUCAACACAGUGAAGGAGGACUGGAAGAAGGAGUCAAAGGGAAUGAUUUACACAUUUGCUUUAUGGAAAAAGAAAUUUUUCUAAGUUUUAACACAA